AUCAACAAUUAGUUGAAAAGACAAAAUCAACUCCUGGAGCUCUGGUUGAGAACAACAAGUUCUGUCUUUCAGUCCAUUUUCGUUGCGUUGAUGAAAAGAAAUGGAGUGAACUAGCACGCCAAGUGAAAUCAGUUUUAAAGGAGUACCCGAAGCUUCGACUUACCCAAGGAAGAAAGGUGCUAGAGAUUCGUCCCACUAUUAAAUGGGACAAAGGGAAAGCCUUGGAAUUUUUAUUAGAGUCACUAGGUGAGUU